GCGGUGCGGUAGCAGCACGUAAAUACUGGAGCUGGGUUGUAGCGUGUCCAGUGUUGGUGUUCUGCUCCAGUAAAGC
rnacentral:pre_miRNA from 1 species